rnacentral:rRNA from 1 species
AACGAACGCUGGCGGCAGGCUUAACACAUGCAAGUCGAGCGCCCCGCAAGGGGAGCGGCAGACGGGUGAGUAACGCGUGGGAAUCUACCCAUCUCUACGGAAUAACGCAUGGAAACGUGUGCUAAUACCGUAUACGUCCUUCGGGAGAAGAUUUAUCGGAGAUGGAUGAGCCCGCGUUGGAUUUGCUAGUUGGUGGGGUAAAGGCCUACCAAGGCGACGAUCCAUAGCUGGUCUGAGAGGAUGAUCAGCCACACUGGGACUGAGACACGGCCCAGACUCCUACGGGAGGCAGCAGUGGGGAAUAUUGGACAAUGGGCGCAAGCCUGAUCCAGCCAUGCCGCGUGAGUGAUGAAGGCCCUAGGGUUGUAAAGCUCUUUCACCGGUGAAGAUAAUGACGGUAACCGGAGAAGAAGCCCCGGCUAACUUCGUGCCAGCCGCCGCGGUAAAAC